UAUUGCAACAUGCGGCGUAAAACCAUACUCACUCACUCUGCCUCAUACCAUUCAUUCACCUGAUGAAGGAGUAAGGACAUACUCUGAAAAUGUCUGUCCCAUGUUCCGUUGACAUGUAUAAAAUUCCCUUUCUUAUUUCAUAUGUUGUUUUCUUUGUAAACUUCAGAUGACAUGUUUCAGCAGGUCAAGCAUUUCAAAUGUAACAUAUUUCCCUUUUCGCAUAUCAUGCAAAAAUAGUAAAACAUAAUCGGGUUGUCUUAUAAUUAUAGUGUGUAUGUAUACAAAAUGUACUAGUGUUGGACAAAUGAUGUAUGAAAUACAAAGUUAAUCUAACGAUUCUGUUGUUCACCGUGAAAUCCAUCAUCGGUACUAGUGUUUCUAUAUACACAUCCUACAUCAUUCGUGCAUACACACGGUCCAUAUAUGUGAUGCAGUAGUGACGCCAGUCUAUUGAGGUCUCGUGAUGGAAAAAGGUCAUGCAUAAACAAACCCCGGAAGUCACGUGACCUCUUUUCACUGCACGCUUCGGUGCAAAAUCGACUCAAUCGACAUGUUCAGUAGAUGGCGGCGGUUAUGUUUACGUAACACGAUAUAUGCGCCAGUUUGUGCGAUGCUUUCAUAAAGGAACAGGAUGUAGAAUUCCCAAGCCGAGCAGAAAUAGAAAUUCCUCGGGAAUGGGCAGCUCACUGCAAUCUCCGACUGCCCACCUUUACUGUGAACACACGUCAGGGUUACAAAAGCUGCUUGUUUAGGCCUGCAUUUGAAUGGACACCAGCCAGUGCUGAAAUCAGGGCCUGUGCUGGAAUAUUGUUGUCAUCAACAGCCGCCUGUACAUCAUCCCGGCGCUCAUCAUAGCUUUUUCAACUGGUGGAACACUAUUUUCUUUUAUACCUUGAAAGAUGACAUUAAGCCAGGUUUAUACCUGCUUGGUAUUUGCCAUGGUAGCAGCUCCAAAUGAUGCACGAUGUUUACCGCUUCUGCCUAGAAUGGCCUGCAACCUAGAGCUAAAUACGUGCGCAAAUAACAGGUGUGCACAUUUUGCUAUCAUAUGUCCUGUUGGGAGUUAUGGACUGAGAUGUAAAGCAAAAUGUUCGAACCACUGCGUUGAAGGUAAGUGUCACCUAACGGAACGGGGUGCUGAGAUUUGCACUAAUGGCUGUGUAAAGGGAUGGAGAGGCACCAAUUGCCUGGAGCGAUGUCCGUACCCAUGCUCGGAGUGUGACCGCGACACUGGAGCUUGUACUGACCAAUGUGGGGAUGGUUUGUAUGGCGACGGCUGCACCAAGGAGUGUCCACAGUCAUGUGUUCGCUGUGACAAGGUGACGGGAGAAUGUAGUGCCGUUCAGCAUUCUUUGGCUAACUUCAAGGGUCUGGUUUACCUUGUCACAAUGGCUACUAUGGUGUUGAUUGCUCCAAACGGUGUACUCUUGGCUGCGAGACCUGUGACCAAUGGACCGGAGACUGUCUGCUGGACCAAACACAGACUGAGCCGUCAACAGCCCUGAAAAACAUUACUGAUGAUACAUCUUCAUUUGACAAACUCCCUGAAGUGAGAUCAUCUGAUGUGAAUAUGCUCAUGGUAAUCGGCCUGGGUGUAAUGUCGGCCUCCCUGCUGCUUAUCGUUGUUUUCCAGUGCUUGUGCUUCAGGAUGAGACGAAACCAACAGAUUACAGACAAGGAGGAUCUGAAAGAUGCCCACCUUUCUCUAAACGAGCCCAAGUACACUCAUGUCUACGAUGAAGAUACCUGAAGAUGCUGAUGACAGUCGGUUUCCUAAGCAGAGAGAAUACCUCACUGCAACAUUCACCAACGAUGGGCUUGACCCUUCUCUGACCCACAAGAUCGCGGCAAGUGGAUAUCUUCACCCUCUUGGGAUCAGAGGACCGUACGUGGCCCCUCAUCUUUCAUAUCCCAAUUGUGCUCCUUUUGAAGCGUGAAUUAUAAUACACGUUAACUGAUGAUUGCUUGUUUAACGCCGCACUCAGCACUAUUCCAGCUAUACCUCGGUGGUCUGUAAAUAAUCGAGUCUGGCCCAUAGUUGCGUUACGGUUUGUCUGUGUGUUACAAACUUGUUAACAAACAUCAUAAUCUCAGACACACCUUAACCGAUAGAAUGCAAGUUUUGGCAAAUAUAUCAACGUAAGUUGAUAUAAACAUU